rnacentral:rRNA from 1 species
UACAGAGGGUGCAAGCGUUGUUCGGAAUUAUUGGGCGUAAAGCGCGUGUAGGCGGCUUUGCAAGUCGGGUGUGAAAGCCCUCAGCUUAACUGAGGAAGUGCGCCCGAAACUGCAGAGCUUGAGUACCGGAGAGGAUGGUGGAAUUCCCGAAGUAGAGGUGAAAUUCGUAGAUAUCGGGAGGAACACCGGUGGCGAAGGCGGAUCUCUGGGCCGAUACUGACGCUGAGGAGCGAAAGCGUGGGAGCGAACGAGG